rnacentral:rRNA from 1 species
CAUGGAGGGUGAGAAUCCCGUUCGGUUGACCUUAUGACGCUCUACGAUACGCUCUCUAAGAGUCGAGUUGUUUGGGAUUGCAGCUCAAAAUGGGAGGUAAAUUUCUCCUAAGGCUAAAUAUCGGCGAGAGACCGAUAGCGAACAAGUACCGUGAGGGAAAGAUGAAAAGAACUUUGAAAAGAGAGUAAAAUAGUACGUGAAAUUGUUGAAAGGGAAACGAUUGAAGUCAGUCGUACCGACGAGAAAUCAACUUAUCGUGUGCGAACUUGUGGGCGUGCGUGAGUUUCGGCCUCGCUGUUUGCAUGUUUGUGCGCUUUGGGUGUACUUUUUCGUAUGGUAGGCCAACGUCAGUUUCGAUUAUCAUAAAAUGACCGGCGGAAUGUAGCUUCGAUUUCGGUUGAAGUGUUAUAGCCUCUGGUAGAUGUGGUUAUUGAGACUGAGGAUUGCAACGAAUACCCUUUGGGCUAUCCGUCUGGCCUCUGAAAGUUGCUCAGGUGCCGAAAGCGUGCUUACGGUUAUCUAAGAUAACGUUCAACAGGUUAGAACGUGAUUACAUUCGUUAAGGAUGUUGACGUAAUGG